GAUGUUCUAACGUUGGCCCCUAAUCGGGGUUGCGGACAGUGUCUGGUGGGUAGUUUGACUGGGGCGGUCUCCUCCUAAAGAGUAACGGAGGAGCACGAAGGUUGGCUAAUCCUGGUCGGACAUCAGGAGGUUAGUGCAAUGGCAUAAGCCAGCUUGACUGCGAGCGUGACGGCGCGAGCAGGUGCGAAAGCAGGUCAUAGUGAUCCGGUGGUUCUGAAUGGAAGGGCCAUCGCUCAACGGAUAAAAGGUACUCCGGGGAUAACAGGCUGAUACCGCCCAAGAGUUCAUAUCGACGGCGGUGUUUGGCACCUCGAUGUCGGCUCAUCACAUCCUGGGGCUGAAGUAGGUCCCAAGGGUAUGGCUGUUCGCCAUUUAAAGUGGUACGCGAGCUGGGUUUAGAACGUCGUGAGACAGUUCGGUCCCUAUCUGCCGUGGGCGCUGGAGAACUGAGGGGGGCUGCUCCUAGUACGAGAGGACCGGAGUGGACGCAUCACUGGUGUUCGGGUUGUCAUGCCAAUGGCACUGCCCGGUAGCUAAAUGCGGAAGAGAUAAGUGCUGAAAGCAUCUAAGCACGAAACUUGCCCCGAGAUGAGUUCUCCCUGACUCCCUGAGAGUCCUGAAGGAACGUUGAAGACGACGACGUUGAUAGGCCGGGUGUGUAAGCGCAGCGAUGCGUUGAGCUAACCGGUACUAAUGAACCGUGAG
rnacentral:rRNA from 1 species